CACAUCCCCAAUUGUUACUCUCGUUUCUCAUUUCUCGUUGUUUUGUUUUCCUCUUCUAUACCUACAUUUAAGUACCAGUAACAACCGUGCUGCUGCUACGUCCUGCCUUGCUCAGAGGAACUUCAUGGCGGUUGAAGAGAGCGAGAGAGCGCUGCUCCUUCUCCUUUUUCCUUCCCAGCCAAUCACAUGCCAACGUGCUCCUGCAGUCGUCCCUCAUGCUGAGUUUGACAGCGCUGUGUUACAGCAACACAAACUUUGAGACAUGGAGAGAGAUGACUGGAGGAUCUGGAUGCAUGCUGAGGAAAGAAAAAAAAAAAACAACAAAAAAAACGCCCUGUCAGGAUUUUACAAACAAGAAAGGUGUGAAACAUGAAAGGCUGACAGAAAGUGAAAAAUCUGCAGAUUCCAUAUGGAGGUGCUGAUGGUGCAGCGUCUGCAGCAGGGGUCGCCUGUGGCAGCCGCUGACUGCACUGCACACACUCCUGAAACAGCACACACACACACAUGCAUCAACCUCUUCUGCAACUUCUACUUUGAUUGUGAAUUACUACGUUUCCCAGAAUGCCUUUUAAUAACUUCUAAAACAAUAGCUGAGAAUGUGUCAUCUUGAGCCAUUUAUGUAUGC